rnacentral:rRNA from 1 species
GAUGAACGCUGGCGGCGUGCCUAAUACAUGCAAGUCGAGCGAACAGACGAGGAGCUUGCUCCUCUGACGUUAGCGGCGGACGGGUGAGUAACACGUGGAUAACCUACCUAUAAGACUGGGAUAACUUCGGGAAACCGGAGCUAAUACCGGAUAAUAUAUUGAACCGCAUGGUUCAAUAGUGAAAGACGGUUUUGCUGUCACUUAUAGAUGGAUCCGCGCCGCAUUAGCUAGUUGGUAAGGUAACGGCUUACCAAGGCAACGAUGCGUAGCCGACCUGAGAGGGUGAUCGGCCACACUGGAACUGAGACACGGUCCAGACUCUUACGGGAGGCAGCAGUAGGGACUCUUCCGCAAUGGGCGAAAGCCUGACGGAGCAACGCCGCGUGAGUGAUGAAGGUCUUCGGAUCGUAAAACUCUGUUAUUAGGGAAGAACAAAUGUGUAAGUAACUAUGCACGUCUUGACGGUACCUAAUCAGAAAGCCACGGCUAACUACGUG